UUGUUCUUUCAAAUGCAACAUGAAUUGAUGUUCAAACAUGGUUGGGAAGAACCGACAAUUUAUUUGAAGCAUCAAUGAAUAAUCUGUAGAAGCUAAGGAAGCUCUUUUUGCUUGAGAUCAACUGAUGAAAAUGAGGUAAUUGAUGUGAAAUUUGCAAUAGUUAAUAAUCUUGUUUUGUUUUUCCUCAAGGGGGAUUGUUAAUUUGGCUUGGGUGGUAUGUUGGGGUGUGCUGGCGUUCUUGAUUUAUUCUAGGCACUUUGGUCGCCUUGCAAUUUCCUUGUUCGUUAGACUUCAGUCUCAAAGUUAAUGGUAGUAAUCGCAAGUUCUGGUCUUAUUUCGGUUCAGGUUUUGCAUCAUUUGCUUAGCAGUGGUGGGGUUUAUGAUUUAUUAUUUUUUGUGGAUGGUAGAAACCAAUGAGUCCUGCAAACGGAAACAGUAGAGACAAUUCCAUGAAUGCCAGGAAACAGAAGCAAUUAUAAUAAUAGGGUGUGUAUUAUUUGAUAAUAAAAGAUAAAUAGCAGUAGAGGGUUACUCUAACUACUCCCAGAGCACAGCUCCGACACAACUCAGAGAGGAAUCGUACUCUGGCCUUAACCUAAAAUAUUCUAUUCUCUACCUCUAGAACCCUAGAGUCUUUUCUUAAAUACUAUUAAGAAAAUUAAAACGAAAUAAUAUCUUUACUAAGAAGAUACUAUUCUAUAGUACUAACGAAAUAAAUUACAUAAUAUCUUUCUUUUAUAAUACUAUUAAAAUAUUCCUACUACUUAGACACCCUAUUUAAUUACUUAAAUACCUCCGUCGUACUUAGCCACUAUUUUUCUUAACCUUCCUUUCAUAAACUCUCCAUAUUUUGGGUUUGCCAAUAAUACCCUUUUCCGCAGUGGUCCCAUCAGUGGAGUUCACUCAUGUAGUUCAUUUUUUUGUUGAGGGAGUUAGUGAUUUGCGUCUGUGCAAGUGUAUGGAGGAGGCGAAGGCUAGGCUGUCUUUAUUUUUCAGUCUGAGUCGUGGCAUCCUCUGUGCAUUUCUUCUGUCACUCUUGUAGUUUAUGUUUUGACAUCUGAUCUGACUAAGCGUAUUGUGCUUCUCAUGGUAGUCAUUGGUAGGUGUGCUAAGUGUAUUUUUCUUUCUAUGGACAUGCUGCUUGUGUAUCUCUUCUGUCAUGUGCAUUUUUUGUGCCUUUGACUCUUUUUAUUUUAAUAAAUUUCUUUUUGCCCUUGCAAAAAUAAUAAUAAUAAUCUGGUUUUUUUUUCUUUUUUUCUUUCAUCAUCCUCAUGUAUAAUCCAGAAACUGAGGAUAUAGGAUGCAUUCAGCUGAAGAGAUUUUCUUCAAAUCUUUCUCACUUUGGGUCCAUGAUAAUAAUAUGCCGCUACCAAAUAAAACUCAUUAUUAUGGAUGAUAAUUUGAAAUGAACUAUAUACUUCAGCAUCAUUUUCCUGUUUCUGCACUUGGCCUUAAUUCAUACCAUGUAUUGUUAAUGGUGGUUUCAGCUCAUCAACAACCUCAUGAUGUUUCAAAUCAUGCAAAUGGAAGUACGGAACCACUGGGUGGGAGUUGACACUUGUUACGACCCGAAGUUCAAAUGAGAGUGCUGAAGCAACUAGCAAAUUGGUAUGCUUUCUUCAUCCAUAGGCUGAGUAAUUAUUUUAUUUUCCGGUCUUUUACUAGUGUUGUUUGGGAUUGUUCUAGAUUGGGUUUGAAGAGGAUUACUUUGGUGUUUCUGAUAAAGUGGGCUGUGAGGGAUUCAAUGACUCAGCUUGCAAGUAAGUAUCUAUUAAUGAUUCAUGGGUUUGUUAUCUAUUGUUGAAGAUCAUAAAUCAAGAAAUUUAAAUAUCUUAUUCUUAAAUUUUUUAUACGGUGGCCUGCGAGGAUUUGUGCAAGAGAAUUAAUUUCUCUCAAGUUCAAGCAGUUGGAGAAUUUAGCCUAUAAAAAAUGUCCUAAUUGUGUAGUUCAUGUGUUUGUUUGAUGUGUUAGUAAAAGUUUAACACAUCAAAGUAGAAAUUAUUAAGUUAGCGUUCAAUUUUAUUACACUACUCUUAGGUGUUUUGUAAGGGAAAAGCUUUUUCUUAAGAAAAUUUUAAGAGAAGGAAUGCAAGAAUAAAUCUUCACCCUUAUUUACAUCCACUACCCCCCAUGAUUUUCACAAAAGAAGCAGAUUAAAGUGACACCAUCUUUUAAGAUAUUGCCAUGUGUUUGAUUCUUGUAUUUCUUCUUUUGAAUCCUUCGUAACAAAUAGCAUCGCUCGUUUUGUAAUAGAUGUUUUUGUAAGGUUCAAUUUGGUCACACUACUCUAUAUUAAUUUGGUAUGACAUUAUAUUAAUUCUAAGUUUAUGUUUUAGAUUAUUACUCUAUGUAAAACUGUGGUACAUGGUUAUAUUUAAAAUACUGGUUGACAUAUAGAAAGUAAUAUAAUGAUGGUGUGCAGCUGUAUAUUCUGCAUAUAUGCAGGAUUUUUUUUUUAAUAAAAAAAAUCACUUGUUAGGUUGGUUAAAGAAGGCUGACUUGUUUCAAAAAAAAAAUAAAAGCUGACUUAAAAAAAUGCUUCUUAGGUCGGGUGCAUAUGCAAUUUUGAGGUUAUGGAUACCACGCCUUCUAAAGUCGGGUGAGGUGUGACCGACCUAACAAGUUUUUAUUGAGUCAAUUCAAAAUUUGACUUAACAAGUCAAAACUUGUUAUGUCGCCAACUCUUAAGUCAGGUACGGAACCGAUUUAAAAAGCCUUUUUUGCACUAGUGGCAUGUUGGUGUGACUAGAAAUCUGGGCCCCUCUUCAUGUUCGGGGCUUAACAACCAGAUAUUUGCUUACUAAGGUGACAUAUCUUGGUUUCUUCUUUCUUUAAGCAAUCCAUAGGACUAGGAGAGUGUGAUGUAUUUAACUAUCAUGCUGCUCUGUGCUGGUAAGUUAUUUCUUCUAUUAUUGAUAAUUUAAUAUACUUUUCUUCUAACUAAUCUAUGAUUUCAAUGACAGUUCCUUCUGUAUGGAGAGCCAAACAGAAGCAGCUUUUACUUGGUCAAUUUGCCACAAUGGAUUUUGAUUCCUGGAUGGUUAAGUUUUGUGAUUGCAAACUUAAAAGGUCAUAAGUCUAACUCUCACCAACAAAACUACCUGCGGCAC
rnacentral:lncRNA from 1 species